GGAGGAAAAGAAACUAACAAGGAUUCCCCUAGUAACGGCGAGUGAAGCGGGAAGAGCUCAAAUUUGAAAUCUGGCAGUCUUCGAUUGUCCGAGUUGUAAUCUAUAGAGGCGUUUUCCGUGCCGGACCGUGUCCAAGUCUCCUGGAAAGGAGUAUCAAAGAGGGUGAUAAUCCCGUACUUAACACGACCCCCGGUGCUCUGUGAUACGUCUUCUACGAGUCGAGUUGUUUGGGAAUGCAGCUCAAAAUGGGUGGUGAAUUCCAUCUAAAGCUAAAUAUUGGCGAGAGACCGAUAGCGAACAAGUACCGUGAGGGAAAGAUGAAAAGCACUUUGGAAAGAGAGUUAAACAGUACGUGAAAUUGUUGAAAGGGAAACGAUUGAAGUCAGUCGUGUUCCUUGGAUUCAGCCAGUUCUGCUGGUCUACUUCCUUGGAACGGGUCAACAUCAGUUUUGUCCGGUGGAUAAAGGUAGUAGGAAUGUGACUUCCCUCGGGAAGUGUUAUAGCCUAUUGCCACAUACACUGGGUGAGACUGAGGACUGCAGCUCGCCUUUAUGGCCGGUCUUCGGACACGUUCGAGCUUAGGAUGUUGACAUAAUGGCUUUAAACGACCCGUCUG
rnacentral:rRNA from 1 species